rnacentral:lncRNA from 1 species
CAAGUUUCAGCCAUAUGCCAAGGGUUGCCAGAAGACAGACAGAAUCAGCAGUUCCAAGUCCUUCCCACCUCUCAGCUGUGAAUAGAAGUGAUAACCCUUCCCACUAAGAAAUGCAAAGAAGCACACGUGCCCCAUAAUCUGAAGACUUAUGGAAACACUGUGAGAUAGAGAUCCCUGAAGAGCCCCCCAUAUAAAGAACUGUAGAGCUGCACUGACCAGUAGGAUGCUCCAUUUUAAAUUGCCUGGAUCAAGAAUGCAGUAGCAGUUAUAUCACUGAUGGGCAGUGAUCCAUCUGCCAGCACAUAUUUUUAUUUCAGUUGACAUUAAAUAAUAUGUCUCUAACAAAUGCUUUAUAUAAAGGGAACAACUCUGAAGUUGGAGGAUUCGCUUCAUAAUGCGUGCAUAUAAAAGACAUUUCAUCAAGAGAUGAAGAAUGCUAAAAAUAUUAAGGUAUCAUUGCAACCUUUUGACAUUUUGAUGAAAUCGAAUCAUCCAAAAACUAUAAUCAGUGCUGCAGAAAGAAAGCCUAAAAUUUGUUUCUAGCAAGCCAACUAUUACUGUUUUUUGUGUUUUUUUUUUCAAUUAAGUAGUGGACUGUGUUUAAUCAUGAGAUAUAGUCGUGUUAUAUUCCAUGUUCUGGGUUAUGUGCAACUUUAUUUGUGAAGGUGUGUUUUGUACCAAAGGCUCUCAUACAUAGAUUAGCCCAUUUACAUAUAAAUAAGUGAAGUCUACACUGUGCCCAAAUGAAUGGUAUUAAAGACAGACUUGCC